GAUUGGGCAACCGGUGAAAAUAUUUCGAAGUUCCUGAUGGGAUCUGAGGAAGUUCCUUAUCCGCAUCGAUUAAGGUGAAAUGGGGAUCCAGGCCUCAUGUCCUGAGCGGCGAAUCGAUAGCUAGUGGUGGGUAAGCUACUAGCAUCGAUCAGUAGCUGUCUGAGAGGACGAUCAGCACACUGACUGAGACACGUCCAGACUCUACGGGAGGCAGCAGUGGGGAUUUGACAAUGGGCGAAAGCUGAUCCAGCACGCCGCGUGAGUGAAGAAGGCCUUCGGGUGUAAAGCUCUUUGUCAGGGAAGAAACGGUGAGGGCUAAUAUCUCUUGCUAAUGACGGUACCUGAAGAAUAAGCACCGGCUAACUACGUGCCAGCAGCCGCGGUAAUACGUAGGGUGCAAGCGUUAAUCGGAAUUACUGGGCGUAAAGCGUGCGCAGGCGGUUUUGUAAGUCUGUCGUGAAAUCCCCGGGCUCAACCUGGGAAUUGCGAUGGAGACUGCAAGGCUAGAAUCUGGCAGAGGGGGGUAGAAUUCCACGUGUAGCAGUGAAAUGCGUAGAGAUGUGGAGGAACACCGAUGGCGAAGGCAGCCCCCUGGGUCAAGAUUGACGCUCAUGCACGAAAGCGUGGGGAGCAAACAGGAUUAGAUACCCUGGUAGUCCACGCCCUAAACGAUGUCUACUAGUUGUCGGGUUUUAAUUAACUUGGUAACGCAGCUAACGCGUGAAGUAGACCGCCUGGGGAGUACGGUCGCAAGAUUAAAACUCAAAGGAAUUGACGGGGACCCGCACAAGCGGUGGAUGAUGUGGAUUAAUCCGAUGCAACGCGAAAAACCUUACCUACCCUUGACAUGUACGGAAGCCACGAGAGAUCGAGGUGUGCUCGAAAGAGAGCCGUAACACAGGUGCUGCAUGGCUGUCGUCAGCUCGUGUCGUGAGAUGUUGGGUUAAGUCCCGCAACGAGCGCAACCCUUGUCAUUAGUUGCUACGAAAGGGCACUCUAACGAGACUGCCGGUGACAAACCGGAGGAAGGUGGGGAUGACGUCAAGUCCUCAUGGCCCUUAUGGGUAGGGCUUCACACGUCAUACAAUGGUACAUACAGAGGGCCGCCAACCCGCGAGGGGGAGCUAAUCCCAGAAAGUGUAUCGUAGUCCGGGUUGUAGUCUGCAACUCGACUGCAUGAAGUUGGAAUCGCUAGUAAUCGCGGAUCAGCAGUAGCGUUUGCUC
rnacentral:rRNA from 1 species